rnacentral:lncRNA from 8 species
AUGCCUGCCAUUCUGCUGGCCUCUAAGAUGAAGUCGGGACUGCCCAAACCCAAGCCGGUGCACAGCGCUCUGCCCAUUCCACAGGUGCCCUCGCGCCCCCUCACCCUGCCUCUACCUCUGCCCAUGCCCCUCAAGCCCUCCUACAGACACAUUCCCACAUUGGGCCCCCAGAGGGGCUUGGGACACCAACAGGGGGUCUGGGGAGCCCCCAAAACCAAGAGUGCUCCAGUGACAGACGGUGGAAUUGACACGCAGCUAUACACACACACUGGAACUAUUUCUUAUUCGCCGGAGUGGAAAAUCUAUAUCGGAGGAGAGGGAGACAGAAAGGUAAAGGGAAGAUGUCAUUCUGUUUGCUCAAUUUCUUCAUUUUGUGGCAUUGAUCUGUCUGUCACAGCUAGGGUUGUAGUGAAUGAACCUUGCCUAUUGUGGAAGCGUGUCACAGACCUUUCUAGUGGACAUGUCCACGCACGCCCGCGCCCGCACAAAACUCAUCCAGUCAAAGUUCAUUGGUGACGCACACAGAUUUGCAGGUGUUAUGGCAGGGGCAGCGAAACGCUUGUGUUACUAGCUCCAGCAGCGCAGUAGAAUGUCUCGCAAAUACAAUAGAAAUACAUUUGUAUUCGUUUUUUGUAAAUCGAGAAAUGUCAAUCCAAGCACAUAUAUGAGAGUGAGAAUAUAAAUACUGUAUGUGAUGUGUACAAUUUGGAAAAUGUACACUGGAUCGGUGCAGUGAAAUGUGUUGUUCCACAGGGUCAGCCAUAGUAGUACAGCACCCCUGGAGCAAAUGAGGGUGUUAUGUACAGUAGUAGGUAUAUUAGGAUAAACUAUGUCGACGAUACAGAAUAUACAUACACAGUGAGUAAACAACAGUAUAUGAACACAAUAUGAGUUGACAUGCACGCACGCACAUGCACACACACACACACACACACACACACACACACACACACACACACACACACACACACACACACACAUCCAUCUGCCCAUCUGCCAGUAGUGUGAUAAGACCUCUCUAUCUUAAUAAGCAUUUCUCCAGAUAAAGGCUUUAAGUCUGUCUUUAUGAAAAGCCUGGGUUUCAUUAAAGAGUCAUAACCAAGACUUAGGGCUUAUCUACGUUAGUGUCAAGAUGAAAAGCACACAGCAGUGACCGCCUUUUUGGAGAGGUUUCAUUUCUCCCAAUAUUUGCUCAAAUGAUCUCAAAGCAAAUAUCGAUUCAGGAUAUAGAAGGACCUUCAGUCAAGAGAGAAUGAGCUUUGCUGAGCGCAAUAUUAAUGUCUGAAGGACGUUUCUUUAUUAUUUUCUGGGACGUCGGAAGCCGAGAUGUGAGAUUUAGCAUCGACACAGAGUUCCGUUAAUCAAACCAUUAGGCAAGAGCAUGCGUAAUGUGUUGAUAACGCAGUAGUCAUUUGAAUGAUUGUAAUUGGGCCCAAUUUAAUUCAAAGACUCAAUUUCAUUCUCUGACGUUGAACUUGAUCAGGUGCUGGGUUCAGAUAGCGGCUAUGCUUUUUGAUUGGCGAAUAUAUUUGAUUACCGUGUGGAUUCUUAUCUAUUCAAAUGACCCUUAACGGGAUGAUAUCGAUUGACUAGCGGUAGAGAUAUCUGUCCUCUUCUCCCCCAUACCCUCUUUACAAUCAACAGCCUCCGGGAACUCUCUUAACCUCUAGUAUUGUCUCAGGGGACCAUUGACUUUAAUGGGGCCCGUAUUCUACCAGUUGUUAAGGCCUUCCAGAGACCCAUAGGGUCCAGCAGGUGAGAAUGAAAGGGAAUGGGGGGUGGGAUUGGACUCUACAUCCUGCUGCAUUCGAUUGCUAAUUUCCCCUCACAGUGGAUAAACUGGCUGGAGGUCUGGCUGACUUCAUUGCCAUUUACCAUGACAAAGGGAAAGGAGAAGGGGUAUGGAUUCACAUAUGUUUUCCUCGGGAUGUGUAGUGAGCCUAUGAAACAAGUGGAAUAGCCGUCAUCUUCAUAGAAGAGAUUGCGCUUUCUCUUUGGCUAGACUGCAGAUUGAGAUGAUAUGUGUGUGACUGAAUAUAUAUAGACUAGUUUUCUUUAAUAGGUUCUCCGCAUUUUUAUUGAACAAAAAAAAUGAUUAGGGCUGGGAAUUGCCGGGGACCUCACGAAACGAUAUGUUAUCACGACACUUAGGUGCCGAUAUGUAUUGCAAUUCUCGCAAUUCUAUAUGUCUUGCGAUUUGAUUGCGAUUUGAUGUUCCAUAUAUAUAUUGCUCACUAAAUGUCCGCUGCAGGCAGACAGAGCAUGAGAAAAUUACUUUUGAUCAGUCAUGGAAAUGAAAAUGCAAUAAACAUGCCGGCUCACUAUUUAAAAAGAAGAUGGAGAAAAAGCUAUAGGAUGAAAAAUACCGGAGUUUUGACACAGGUGCAGCCGACGAGCGCUAGCUAACGCUACCUAGCAACAAUUUCAAUCCAAAAUACUGUAUAUAUCAGGUACCAAGGUAAGACCCAAGUGCAGACCGUGUGAAGUAACAGUGUUUAUUGUAACAGGGGCAGGCAAACGACAGGUCAAGGCAGGCAGGGGUCGAUAAUCCAGAGCAGGGGCCAAGGUACACGACGGCAGGCAGGCUCAGGGUCAGGCAAGGGUCAAAAACCAGGAGGACGAGAAGAAGAGAAACUGGAAAAAGCAGCAGCUGAGACACAAAACGCUGGAAGGCUUAGACAAACGAGACGAACUGGCAACAGACAGAGAAUACAGGUAUAAAUACACAGGGGAUAAUGGGGAAGAUGGGUGACACCUGGAGGGGGUGGAGACAAUCACAAAGACAGGUGAAACAGAUCAGGGCGUGACAGUAGAAAUAAUCAUUUUUUUGACAAAUCGAUUCAUGGAGUCCAAGUAUCAAUAUAAUAUUGUCCAAAAUAAUAUUGUGAUAUGUAACAUUAGUUAUUUUCCCCAUCGCAAUUUUUUUCCCCGUUCUUCUCUCUGUGAUUUUCAUGUCUGAGCUAAAAGAGAAGAGGUUUGUCUGGCUUAAUUCCCCAUCGACACACAGUAAAGCUCACACACAUUGACGCUCGCAUGCAGCGAAUACACUCUGACUAGUUUGAAUAGUUUGACUAACGUGUGCACAGCAAGUGUCUGAAAUGUUUGUUGACUACAGAAUACAGGCAUCGCUCGCUCAGUGGCUGACUGUGUCCACUGUGGAAUCUUAUCAGACCAGAAAUGGGUAUAAUGUUAGAGCGGGUGUGUCUAAAUGUAGGCUAUGUAUGUCUUCUUGUCUGCUUCUAUAUGGAUGUGUGUCCUUGUCUUUUAGUGUUUGUGCCACAAUGAAAGUCUCAGACAGGAGCCUAUAUUGGCGGCACGCCUCUUUGCUCGCUCGCUGAGGGAAGGCUAGAUCGCUAUCCCGGAAUCCGUCGGUCCAGAGUGCCACCGCCCUGCCUCCUUCUCUAAUUCACACGCAGACGUCACACGCUGCCAAUACACCAUUUGAUUCUCUGAUAGUAUUGGAGUUCCUCUGUUUCAGGAUAAGGAUCUUGGCUUUUUCCCCCCAUAGAACUAGCAGCUUCUUUCUAUAAAGAAGAUAGCAGAGCCACUGUGAAUCAAUACAGAAAUGUAUACAUGGAUAAUAAAUGAUUCAUUGGCAUGGACCUGUUUCUAUCAUUCACAAAGCGGCACAAGGGAACGGCCUCUGUCUGCUUUGAUAUCAGAUUUCAUUCUGUUUUGUUUGGGUAGAGUUAGUAUUCUAGCCUGGUUGCCAGUCUGUUUCUGGUCUCUUGCCAACUCGUUAUGGAAUUGUCAGGCCAAACAUGACAGUGUAUAUCUUGGCGAUGUAGGCAAAAGCACCAAAAAAAGCACAAACAGGUCUGGGACCAGGCUUUUAGUAUCCCUCUGUGACAGAACAUCGAGCCUAACAGUCACAAACAAUACACACUUUGUUUAUUAGUAAUGUUUUAUGAGUCAACACACUAUUUUAUGGGUAGUGUUUUGGCAAGGCUAUAUAAUACAGAUUCACUGUUGUUGUAGCUGUUGUCAUACUAGUCAUAUCUAAUGCA